AGUGAACGCUGGCGGUAGGCCUAACACAUGCAAGUCGAACGGCAGCACAGUAAGUGCUUGCUCUUACGGGUGGCGAGUGGCGGACGGGUGAGGAAUACAUCGGAAUCUACUUUUUCGUGGGGGAUAACGUAGGGAAACUUACGCUAAUACCGCAUACUACCUACGGGUGAAAGCAGGGGAUCUUCGGACCUUGCGCGAUUGAAUGAGCCGAUGUCGGAUUAGUUAGUUGGCGGGGUAAAGGCCCACCAAGGCGACGAUCCGAAGUUGGUCUGAGAGGAUGGUCAGCCACCCUGGAACUGAGACACGGUCCAGCCUCCUCCGGGGGGCAGCAGUGGGGAAUAUUGGACAAUGGGCGCAAGCCUGAUCCAGCCAUACCGCGUGGGUGAAGAAGGCCUUCGGGUUGUAAAGCCCUUUUGUUGGGAAAGAAAAGCAGCAGGUUAAUACCCCGCUGUUCUGACGGUACCCAAAGAAUAAGCACCGGCUAACUUCGUG
rnacentral:rRNA from 1 species